UCCUCCAAGGCUAAAUACUCCUGACUGACCGAUAGUGAACCAGUACCGUGAGGGAAAGGCGAAAAGAACCCCGGCGAGGGGAGUGAAAAAGAACCUGAAACCGUGUACGUACAAGCAGUGGGAGCACAGGUUUACCUGUGUGACUGCGUACCUUUUGUAUAAUGGGUCAGCGACUUAUAUUCUGUAGCAAGGUUAACCGUAUAGGGGAGCCGAAGGGAAACCGAGUCUUAACCGGGCGUUAAGUUGCAGGGUAUAGACCCGAAACCCGGUGAUCUAGCCAUGGGCAGGUUGAAGGUUGGGUAACACUAACUGGAGGACCGAACCGACUAAUGUUGAAAAA
rnacentral:rRNA from 1 species